CCUCAUUUAUAGCUAUAUGUAUAUCUCAUCUAUACCCAAUUUAUAUCUAUAUUACCUAGUACGUGUGGAGAGACAGAGACAGAGGUUUACUUUAAGGAAUUGGCUCAUGCGGUUGUGUGGUCAGCAAGACUGAGAUCCACUGGACGAGCCAGCAGGUUGGAGGCUCAUCUGAGUUGAUGCUGCAGUCUUUAAUCCGAAGGCUAGAAACUCAGGCAGAAUUUCUUCAUCGCUGUCUUGAAUUCCCUUUUCUGCAAGAAACCUAAUUUUUUUUUCUUCAUCCUUUCAAUUGACUGGAUAAGUCCCACCCACAUUAUCAAAGGUAAGCUGCUUUUAAAGUCAACUGACUUGACUGUAAAUGAAUGGA